UGCGCUUUGGUUGUACUAGCAUGAUUUUCAGGUAUAGGUUUUAAUGAAUGACAAACAAUGAAGUCAACUUGUUAAACAAUGUUAUUGUAUGACAAACAAUGAAGAUGCAUUAGCAAACAAUCAAGAUUGAAUGCCGGAAGCAUAUUGAUGAAUGGAUUGCAUGGAAAAGCCAAGACGAGCUCAAAAGUUCAAGACCGAAGACCCAAGGCAUAGGUAGCUAGGUAGAACCAAUGUAAGAGCAACGUUUAAGUUAUCUCGUCUUUUGGCUCAACAUAGG
rnacentral:lncRNA from 1 species